GAUCCUGGCUCAGAACGAACGCUGGCGGCGCGUCUUAAGCAUGCAAGUCGAACGGCAAGAGGUAGCAAUACCUCCUAGAGUGGCGGACUGGUGAGUAACACGUGGGUGACAUACCCUUCAGAUGGGGAUAGCUAUAGAAAUAGUAGAUAAUACCGAAUACGAGCACAGGGGGUUAGAGAUCUGUGAGGAAAGGAGCUAAGGCUCCGCUGAAGGAAUGGCCUGCGGCCCAUUAGCUAGUUGGUGAGGUAAGAGCCCACCAAGGCGAUGAUGGGUAUCCGGCCUUAGAGGGUGAACGGACACAUUGGGACUGAGAUACGGCCCAGACUCCUACGGGAGGCAGCAGCUAAGAAUAUUCCGCAAUGGACGAAAGUCUGACGGAGCGACGCCGCGUGGAUGAAGAAGGCCGGAAGGUUGUAAAAUCCUUUUGAAACUGAAGAAUAAGCGUUGUAGGGAAUGACAGCGUGGUGACAGUAGGUUUUGAAUAAGCAACGGCUAAUUACGUGCCAGCAGCCGC
rnacentral:rRNA from 1 species